rnacentral:rRNA from 2 species
GAGAUGAGAAUGUGCCUUCGGGAACCGUGAGACAGGUGCUGCAUGGCUGUCGUCAGCUCGUGUUGUGAAAUGUUGGGUUAAGUCCCGCAACGAGCGCAACCCUUAUCCUUUGUUGCCAGCGGUUAGGCCGGGAACUCAAAGGAGACUGCCAGUGAUAAACUGGAGGAAGGUGGGGAUGACGUCAAGUCAUCAUGGCCCUUACGACCAGGGCUACACACGUGCUACAAUGGCGCAUACAAAGAGAAGCGACCUCGCGAGAGCAAGCGGACCUCAUAAAGUGCGUCGUAGUCCGGAUUGGAGUCUGCAACUCGACUCCAUGAAGUCGGAAUCGCUAGUAAUCGUGGAUCAGAAUGCCACGGUGAAUACGUUCCCGGGCCUUGUACACACCGCCCGUCACACCAUGGGAGUGGGUUGCAAAAGAAGUAGGUAGCUUAACCUUCGGGAGGGCGCUUACCACUUUGUGAUUCAUGACUGGGGUGAAGUCGUAACAAGGUAACCGUAGGGGAACCUGC